rnacentral:tRNA from 1 species
GCCUCCAUAGUGUAGUGGUUAGCACGUCUGUUUUACAUGCAGAAGAUCCUGGGGUCACACCCCAGGUGGAGCCA